rnacentral:rRNA from 1 species
GAGGCCUGCCUGCCCAGUGACAAACGUUCAACGGCCGCGGUAUCCUGACCGUGCAAAGGUAGCAUAAUCACUUGUUCCUUAAUUGGGGACUGGAAUGAAUGGCCUCACGAGGAUUCAACUGUCUCUUACCUCUAAUCAGUGAAAUUGACCUCCCCGUGAAGAGGCGGGGAUACAACAACAAGACGAGAAGACCCUAUGGAGCUUUAAUUUUCUGUCUUAACUACUAAAUAACUAACCCUACUGGGAUAAAAAAAAAGAGAAGUAAGUCAGUAAUUUCGGUUGGGGUGACCUCGGAAAAUAAAACAACCUCCGAAUGAUUUUAACCAAGACAAACAAGUCAAAGUAUUAAAAAUCAAAUUGAACCAAUUCAUUUGAUCAACGGACCAAGUUACCCUAGGGAUAACAGCGCAAUCCUAUUCAAGAGUCCAUAUCGACAAUUAGGGUUUACGACCUCGAUGUUGGAUCAGGACAUCCCAAUGGUGCAGCAGCUAUUAACGGUUCGUUUGUUCAACGAUUAAAGUCCUACGUGAUCUG